AACGAACGCUGGCGGCAUGCCUAACACAUGCAAGUCGAACGAGACCUUCGGGUCUAGUGGCGCACGGGUGCGUAACGCGUGGGAACCUGCCCUUAGGUUCGGAAUAACUCCCCGAAAGGGGUGCUAAUACCGGAUAAUGUCUUCGGACCAAAGAUUUAUCGCCUUUGGAUGGGCCCGCGUUGGAUUAGCUAGUUGGUAGGGUAAAAGCCUACCAAGGCGACGAUCCAUAGCUGGUCUGAGAGGAUGAUCAGCCACACUGGGACUGAGACACGGCCCAGACUCCUACGGGAGGCAGCAGGGGGGAAAAUUGGACAAUGGGCGAAAGCCUGAUCCAGCAAUGCCGCGGGAGUGAUGAAGGCCUUAGGGUUGUAAAGCUCUUUUACCCGGGAGGAUAAUGACAGUACCGGGAGAAUAAGCGCCGGCUAACUCCGUG
rnacentral:rRNA from 1 species